rnacentral:tRNA from 1 species
UGCCCGGUAGUGUAGCGGUAGCACAGGGGACUUUGAAUCCCUUGACCCAGGUUCGAACCCUGGCCGGGCAGCCA